CCAAUAGCGUAUAUUAAAGUUGUUGCAGUUAAAAAGCUCGUAGUUGAAUUUCGGGAUCAGUACGCUGGUCGUGCCUUCGGUAUGCACUGGUGUCACUGAUUCCUCCCUUCUGAAGAACCGUAAUGCCAUUCAGUUGGUGUUGCGGGGAAUCAGGACUGUUACUUUGAAAAAAUUAGAGUGUUUAAAGCAGGCUCGCGCUUGAAUACAUUAGCAUGGAAUAAUGAAAUAGGACGUUUGAUCCUAUUUUGUUGGUUUCUAGGAUUGACGUAAUGAUUAAUAGGGAUAGUUGGGGGCAUUAGUAUUCAAUUGUCAGAGGUGAAAUUCUUGGAUUUAUUGAAGACUAACUACUGCGAAAGCAUUUGCCAAGGAUGUUUUCAUUAAUCAAGAACGAAAGUUAGGGGAUCGAAGACGAUCAGAUACCGUCGUAGUCUUAACCAUAAACUAUGCCGACUAGGGAUCGGAUGAUGUUAAUUUUUUAAUGACUCAUUCGGCGCCUUACG
rnacentral:rRNA from 1 species